rnacentral:rRNA from 1 species
CCUACGGGGGGCAGCAGUGGGGAAUAUUGGACAAUGGGGGGAACCCUGAUCCAGCCAUGCCGCGUGUGUGAAGAAGGCCCUCGGGUUGUAAAGCACUUUCAGUGAGGAAGAACGCCUGGUGGUUAAUACCCAUCAGGAAAGACAUCACUCACAGAAGAAGCACCGGCUAACUCCGUGCCAGCAGCCGCGGUAAUACGGAGGGUGCGAGCGUUAAUCGGAAUUACUGGGCGUAAAGCGCGCGUAGGUGGCUUGAUAAGCCGGUUGUGAAAGCCCCGGGCUCAACCUGGGAACGGCAUCCGGAACUGUCAAGCUAGAGUGCAGGAGAGGAAGGUAGAAUUCCCGGUGUAGCGGUGAAAUGCGUAGAGAUCGGGAGGAAUACCAGUGGCGAAGGCGGCCUUCUAGACUGACACUGACACUGAGGUGCGAAAGCGUGGGUAGCAAACAGGAUUAGAUACCCGAGUAGUC